rnacentral:rRNA from 1 species
GAUGAACGCUGGCGGCGUGCUUAAUACAUGCAAGUCGAACGGAGACAGUAGCAAUAUUGUCUUAGUGGCGAACGGGUGAGUAACGCGUUGGUGACCUGCCCCGAAGAGGGGGAUAACAGUCCGAAAGGAUUGCUAAUACCCCAUGUGGUCAUUUGGAUUAGAUGCCUUAUGACUAAACGGAUUUAUUCGCUUCGGGAGGGCCUGCGUCCCAUCAGCUAGUUGGUAAGGUAACGGCCUACCAAGGCGACGACGGGUAGCUGGUCUGAGAGGAUGAUCAGCCACACUGGCACUGGAACACGGGCCAGACUCCUACGGGAGGCUG